GGUUAAGUUACGAAGGGCAUACAGUGGAUGCCUCGGCACUUAAAGGCGAUGAAGGACGCGGCUACCUGCGAUAAGCCUCGGUAAGACGGUAACAGUCUCAGACCCGGGGAUCUCCGAAUUGGGCAACCAGUCAGAAGUAAUGUUCUGACAUCCGUUACUGAAUACAUAGGUAACGUGAAGCUAACCCAGGGAACUGAAACAUCUAAGUACCUGGUGGAAAAGAAAACAAAGUGAUUUCCUGAGUAGCGGCGAGCGAAACGGAAAGAGCCUAAACCAUGAAGCGUGUUAAAGAGUGCAUUCGUUGCGCUUCAGGUGUUGUGGGACUUUUGGACCGAUAUGCAAUGGGUCAGAGAGUAAAAAAUUACAAAUCUAAUUGAGUCUUCUGGAAAGUUGAGCCAUAGAGGGUGAUAGCCCCGUAAAUGAAAGGUUUGUAACUCUUGAAAGUAUCCCGAGUACUGCGGAGCACGUGGAAUUCUGCAGGAAUCUGCCGGAACCAUCCGGUAAGGCUAAAUACUCUUAAGUGACCGAUAGUGUACAAGUACUGUGAAGGAAAGGUGAAAAGUACUCCUAACAGGAGGGUGAAAUAGAACCUGAAACUGUAUGCCUACAAACGGUAGUAGUCUGAAAUGGAGCUUGCUCCAAAUUGGAUGACUGCGUGCCUUUUGCUUAAUGAUCCUACGAGUUACUCGUAUGUAGCCGGAUAAGGUUUUAAGAACCGGAUCCCCAGCGAAAGCAAGUCCGAAUAGGGCGACUUAUGGUUACAUGCGGUAGACGCGAAACUGUGUGAUCUACCCUUGGUCAGAAUGAAGUAUCGGUAAAACGAUAUGGAGGUUCGAACUGGUGUGGGUUGAAAACCGCUCGGAUGAACUGAGGGUAGGAGCGAAAGACCAAUCAAACUCAGAAAUAGCUCGUACUCCCCGAAAUAGCUUUAGGGCUAGCCUCGAUUAAUUGUAUGCCGGAGGUAAAGCACUAAUUGGGCUAGGGCCGUCACAACGGUACCAAACCCAAAUAAACUCUGAAUACCGGUCAUAUGUAUCUCGGGAGUCAGGCAGUGGGGGAUAAGCUUCAUUGCCAAAAGGGAAAUAACCCAGACCAUCAACUAAGGCCCCCAAGUCAAUGUUUACAGACUAAGGAUGUUAAGUUGCUUUGACAACUAGGAUGUUGGCUUAGAAGCAGCCAUUCAUUUAAAGAGUGCGUAAUAGCUCACUAGUCAAGCGACUCAGCGCCGAUAAUACACGGGACUAAACAUUGCGCCGAAGUUAUGGACUUCGUAAGAAGUGGUAGGGGAGCAUUCUAUAUGCAGCGAAGGUGGGAAGUGAUUCCAGCUGGAGCGUAUAGAAAAGAAAAUGUAGGAAUAAGUAACGAUAAACAGAAUGAAAAAUUCUGUCACCGAAAAUCUAAGGUUUCCUGAGCAAUGUUAAUCAUCUCAGGGUUAGUCAGCCCCUAAGCCGAGGCCAAACGGCGUAGGUAAUGGGAAUCAGGUUCAAUAUUCCUGAACCAACGACAUUUAAACUAUAGUGACACAGAAGUGAAAGGAGAGCCACCUGUUGGAUGGUGGUCUAAGGACGUAGGGCAACUGAAAUCCGAACGAGAUGGCGCAAGCCUAUAAAUUCUCCCUAAUCAGGCUGUCGAGAAAAGCUAUAGCGUAUACUAAGUUGACUGUACCGCAAACCGACACAGGUAGAUGAGGAGAGUAUCCUAAGGUGCUCGAGUGAGCCGUGGUUAAGGAACUCGGCAAAUUAACCCCGUAACUUCGGGAAAAGGGGUGCUCUAAUUUAUUAGAGCCGCAGAGAAAUGGCCCAAGCGACUGUUUAACAAAAACACAUGACUAUGCAAAGCCUUUAAGGCGAAGUAUAUGGUCUGACACCUGCCCGGUGCCGGAAGGUUAAGAGGAGAGGUUAGCAGCAAUGCGAAGCUUUGAAUCGAAGCCCCGGUAAACGGCGGCCGUAACUAUAACGGUCCUAAGGUAGCGAAAUUCCUUGUCGGGUAAGUUCCGACCUGCACGAAUGGUGUAACGAUUUGGGCACUGUCUCGACCACGGGCUCGGUGAAAUUGUGGUACCGGUGAAGACGCCGGUUACCAGCAUAUGGACGAAAAGACCCCGUGCACCUUUACUGCACCUUAACAUUGGGUUUGGAUAAAACAUGUGUAGAAUAGGUGGGAGGCUUUGAAGCUGCAGCGCUAGCUGUGGUGGAGCCACAAUGUGAAAUACCACCCUUGUUUUGUUCGAAUUCUAACCUAGACCCCUGAAUCGGGGCCGGGAACAGUGUUAGGCGGGCAGUUUGACUGGGGCGGUCGCCUCCUAAAAAGUAACGGAGGCUUUCAAAGGUACCCUCAGCAUGGUUGGUAAUCAUGUGUAGAGCGCAAAGGCAUAAGGGUGCUUAACUGUGAGACAUACAAGUCGAACAGAUACGAAAGUAGGACUUAGUGAUCCGGCGGUAGAGUAUGGAAUUGCCGUCGCUUAAAGGAUAAAAGGUACGCCGGGGAUAACAGGCUGAUCUCCCCCAAGAGUUCACAUCGACGGGGAGGUUUGGCACCUCGAUGUCGGCUCAUCGCAUCCUGGGGCUGGAGAAGGUCCCAAGGGUUUGGCUGUUCGCCAAUUAAAGCGGUACGUGAGCUGGGUUCAGAACGUCGUGAGACAGUUCGGUCUCUAUCCUAUGCUGGCGCAGGAAUUUUGAGAAGGCUCGCUCUUAGUACGAGAGGACCGGAGUGAACGAACCUAUAGUGGACCAGUUGUCAUGCCAAUGGCACCGCUGGGUAGCUAUGUUCGGUUAAGAUAAGCGCUGAAAGCAUCUAAGCGCGAAACUUGCUUCAAGAUGAGAAUUCCCUAUGGGCUUGCCCAUUAUAAGACUCCUGGAAGAUGACCAGGUGAUAGGCUACAGGUGUAAGCAUAGUAAUGUGUUCAGCCGAGUAGUACUAAUAAGUCGAAAAGACUUUACCCG
rnacentral:rRNA from 1 species